GAUGAAGAACGCAGCGAAAUGCGAUAAGUAAUGCGAAUUGCAGAAUUCCAGUGAGUCAUCGAAUCUUUGAACGCACAUUGCGCCCCUCGGUAUUCCGUGGGGCAUGCCUGUUCGAGCGUCAUUUACCCCUCAAGCACUGCUUGGUGUUGGGCGUCUGUCCCGCUUCGCGCGCGGACUCGCCCCAAAGGUAUUGGCAGCGGUCGUGCCAGCUUCUCGCGCAGCACAUUGCGCUUCUCGAGGCGGUCGAUCGGCGUCCACGAAGCUCACCUCCACCGUUUGACCUCGGAUCAGGUAGGGAUACCCGCUGAACUUAAGCAUAUCAAUAAGCGGAGGA
rnacentral:misc_RNA from 1 species